rnacentral:lncRNA from 1 species
GAGAGCAUACAUAAGGUGCUCUAUAAAUGCUAGCUCUUGGUAUAUCAUGGGCACACAGGAACAGGACCUGAUUCUCUGUCCUCCUGACUACUUGGCAUUUCUGUUCUAAGAGGAUCACCCAAAGAAGUUGACAGACGAGCUGAGACUUGAUAACCCGUAGGGGACUUCAGGAGCAGAGGUGAGGUAGAAGCAUCUCUGGUAUGAGGGAGCAUCAGGGCAGAGACAAGAGACUCAGCUGAAGCACCACCUUCUUCAUGAAGCCUUUCAAGAUGCCCUCCAGCUACUGGUAGUCUCUUCAAAAAAAAUUACCAGGUAUUUAAUUUAUAGAUAUUCUGCAUGUAAACAAUGAACAUUGUGG